AUUGAACGCUGGCGGCAGGCCUAACACAUGCAAGUCGAGCGGAGCGGCGGACGGGUGAGUAAUGCCUAGGAAUCUGCCUGGUAGUGGGGGAUAACGUCCGGAAACGGGCGCUAAUACCGCAUAAUAUCAGAUGUGCCUAGGGCGGAUUAGCUAGUUGGUGGGGUAAAGGCCUACCAAGGCGACGAGCCGGAACGGGUCUGAGAGGAUGACCAGUCACACUGUAACUGAGACACGGUCCAGACUCCUACGGGAGGCAGCAGUGGGGAAGAUUGGACAAUUGGCUAAAGCCUGAUCCAGCCAUGCCGCGUGUGUGAGUAAGGUCUUCGGAUUGUAAAGCAGUUUAAGUUGGGAGGCGUUACCAACAGAAUAAGCGCCGGCUAACUUCGUGCCAGCAGCCGCGGUAAUUC
rnacentral:rRNA from 1 species